GUUAACGUAGCUUAAAUAAAAGCUUGGCACUGAAGAUGCCAAGAUGGGGCCUCAUAACCCCCGAUAACA
rnacentral:tRNA from 1 species